rnacentral:rRNA from 1 species
UACGUAGGGUGCAAGCGUUAAUCGGAAUUACUGGGCGUAAAGCGUGCGCAGGCGGUUUUUCAAGACCGAUGUGAAAUCCCCGGGCUUAACCUGGGAAUGGCAUUGGUGACUGGAAGGCUAGAGUGUGUCAGAGGGGGGUAGAAUUCCACGUGUAGCAGUGAAAUGCGUAGAGAUGUGGAGGAAUACCGAUGGCGAAGGCAGCCCCCUGGGAUAACACUGACGCUCAGGCACGAAAGCGUGGGGAGCAAACAGG